rnacentral:piRNA from 1 species
CAUGUGUAGUUGAUUGGGCUUUGUACA